rnacentral:rRNA from 1 species
GACGAACCGUGCGAACGUUGUUCGGAAUCACUGGGCUUAAAGGGUGCGUAGGCGGGUCAUCAAGUCCGGGGUGAAAUCCUCCCGCUCAACGGGAGAAGUGCCUUGGAUACUGGUGGUCUUGAAUGGGGUAGGGGCAUGUGGAACUUCCGGUGGAGCGGUGAAAUGCGUAGAUAUCGGAAGGAACGCCGGUGGCGAAAGCGACGUGCUGGACCCCUUCUGACGCUGAGGCACGAAAGCCAGGGGAGCGAACGGG